UCCCUCUACACACACACACAAGGCUGUGUGACCUUCCCUGAUGGAGAAGAACCAUUCUUCAGUCAAGGAUACAUGAGUAACUUUGCUGGUCUGCUAGAACUUCCAAACAAGUGUUCAAGGUCACAAAUUGUAGGAUUGCAUUGAUAGGAAAU
rnacentral:sRNA from 1 species